AAACUUCGCAAUGCGCGAAAGCGUGACGAGGCUAGUCCGAGUGCUUUCCGCUGAGGAGAGCUUUUCUCGGCUGCAAAUAGGCCGGGGAAUAAGGGGAGGGCAAGUCUGGUGUCAGCCGCCGCGGUAAUACCAGCUCCUCGAGUGGUCGGGACGAUUAUUGGGCCUAAAGCACCCGUAGCCGGUUCGGUAAGUCCUCUGUUAAAUCCAGCCGCUCAACGGCUGGUCUGCAGGGGAUACUGCAGGACUAGGAGGCGGGAGAGGCGGACGGUACUCCGCGUGUAGGGGUAAAAUCCUUUGAUCCGCGGAAGACCACCAGUGGCGAAGGCGGUCCGCCAGAACGCGCUCGACGGUGAGGGGUGAAAGCUGGGGGAGCGAACCGG
rnacentral:rRNA from 1 species